AGGGCAAAGUCUGUAAAACAGUGGUGAGGCCGGCCAUGACGUACGGAUUAGAGACGGUGGCACUGAAGAAACAACAGGAAGCAGAACUGGAGGUGGCAGAAAUGAAGACAUUGAGGUUCUCGCUUGGACUGAGCAGGUCGGAUAGGAUUAGAAAUGAGCUCAUUAGAGGGACGGCCAAAGUUGGAUCUUUUGGAGACAAGGUUAGGGAGAGCAGACUUGGAUGGUUUAGACAUGUUCAGAGACGAGAGAGUGAGAAUAUUGGUAUAAGGGCCCUGAGGAUGGAGCUGCCAGGCAAAAGGGCGAGAGGAAGACCAAAGAGAAGGUUUAUGGAUGUGGUGAGGGAGGACAUGUUAGAGAGGAAGAUGCACGAGAUAGACUGAGAUGAAGAAGACUUGUAUGAUGGUCAAGGACGAACACCGUUCAAACAUAUGGACUAGGUUCCGCAUCUCUGUUGAGUCGGCCAACCGGACGGAGCUGCGGUCGCAAGGUGGUCUGUGGUUGUCACGAUUGCAACGGCAGAACCUGUCGGUGGACACCAGCGGUGAGGGAUGCUGUCAAGCUGCAGAAGGGGGACGAGGCUCAGUACCGGCCGGCCAAGCAGAAUCCAGUAAGGGUUGCUUUGAGAGUGUUGGGUACGGGGCCCUUGCACAACAGAUGUCAGCGUUUGUUCCGCGUUGCCAAGAAUAACUCCAACGGUUAGAUUCGACAAAGGCCGAGCUUUGCCACUCCGUACUUGGACAGAAUUAGUAGGUGGGGCGAUAAUCACUUAAUUGGAAUACCCUCUUGUCUUCAACAAACAACUGCAUUGAAAAGACCAGGAAGUAACAGUGGGGGUUUUUCAGGCCGCGCCCCCGAGAAGGUUGGGCGCACGCUUUAUUAACGAUCAACCACACGGCUAAGAGUCAACAAACGGCGCAGGCAUCGGCCCGAACCAGCAAAGAGUCCUUUCGAACUCCACUCAGAGCAGUGACAGCGUUAAUUCAUUUAGUGCGGGAAAGCCCAAGACGGGAGGGCAUCAUCAUGAUGAUCAAAGCUUUCAUUUUCAUACUUGUACUUCUUGCAAUCACGGCUGAGGAAAGGCAAGAGCACCACGGAAGUGCCAGGCGACUCCUCCAGAACACGGAUUCCGACGUCCAAACUAGCGCCCCAACCCGUCCACUUGGAACAGUUCCAGGCCUAACCCUCCCACCCCAAACAUGC